UACGGAAGGCAGCAGUGGGGAAUAUUGGACAAUGGGCGAAAGCCUGAUCCAGCCAUGCCGCGUGUGUGAAGAAGGCCUUUUGGUUGUAAAGCACUUUAAGCGAGGAGGAGGCUACUUGGAUUAAUACUCUAGGAUAGUGGACGUUACUCGCAGAAUAAGCACCGGCUAACUCUGUGCCAGCAGCCGCGGUAAUACAGAGGGUGCGAGCGUUAAUCGGAUUUUACUGGGCGUAAAGCGUGCGUAGGCGGCUUUUUUAAGUCGGAUGUGAAAUCCCUGAGCUUAACUUAGGAAUUGCAUUCGAUACUGGGAAGCUAGAGUAUGGGAGAGGAUGGUAGAAUUCCAGGUGUAGCGGUGAAAUGCGUAGAGAUCUGGAGGAAUACCGAUGGGCGAAGGGCAGCCAUCUGGGCCUAAUACUGACGCUGAGGUCGAAAGCAUGGGGA
rnacentral:rRNA from 1 species